AGCUGCAGUCGAGAUCUUUCGCAAUGGGCGAAGCCUGACGAAGCGACGCUGCGUGAGUGAUGAAGGCUUUCGGGUUGUAAAACUCUUUCGCGCAAGAGCAAAGUGGGUUAGUGAAUAACUGAUUCAUAUGAGAGUACUGCGUAAAGAAGCACCGGCUAACUCC
rnacentral:rRNA from 1 species